rnacentral:rRNA from 1 species
GAUGAACGCUGGCGGCGUGCCUAAUACAUGCAAGUCGAGCGAACAGACGAGGAGCUUGCUCCUCUGACGUUAGCGGCGGACGGGUGAGUAACACGUGGAUAACCUACCUAUAAGACUGGGAUAACUUCGGGAAACCGGAGCUAAUACCGGAUAAUAUAUUGAACCGCAUGGUUCAAUAGUGAAAGACGGUUUUGCUGUCACUUAUAGAUGGAUCCGCGCCGCAUUAGCUAGUUGGUAAGGUAACGGCUUACCAAGGCAACGAUGCGUAGCCGACCUGAGAGGGUGAUCGGCCACACAGGAACUGAGACACGGCCCAACCCCCCAGGGGAGGCAGCAGUAGGGAAUUUUCCGAAAUGGGCGAAAGCCUGACGGAGCAACGCCGGGUGAGUGAUGAAGGUUUUCGGAUCGUAAAACUCUUUUAUUAGGGAAGAAAAAAUGUGUAAGUAAAUAUGCACGUUUUGACGGUACCUAAACAGAAAGCCACGGCUAACUACGU